rnacentral:rRNA from 1 species
UACGUAGGGUGCAAGCGUUAAUCGGAAUUACUGGGCGUAAAGCGUGCGCAGGCGGUUCGCUAAGACAGAUGUGAAAUCCCCGGGCUUAACCUGGGAACUGCGUUUGGUACUGGCAAGCUAGAGUACGGCAGAGGGGGGUGGAAUUCCACGUGUAGCAGUGAAAUGCGUAGAGAUGUGGAGGAACACCGAUGGCGAAGGCAGCCCCCUGGGCCGAUACUGACGCUCAGGCACGAAAGCGUGGGGAGCAAACAGG